ensembl:lncRNA
CCCAAAUGAAUAAUAAAGUGUGUCAAAGCUGACCUAUGCGGUCUCUUAAUUUAGAUGUUCCGCUAUUUGACACAGUGCACCCCAACCGCCACCAAACCUCACUUUCCACUCUAUCGGUCUCCCCCAUAACACAGGAAAGGAAUUCUCUAAUGUAGGUUUACUAAGGCAAAGAGGAACUCCAGGAGUUUCGCUUCGCGGGUCAUCUGUGGCUUUCUCUUAUGUUCUCAAACAUCUGGCGACCGGUGAAAAGCGAUUCGCACAGGAAUUAACUGUUCUGUUUCAUCAGUAACUGAUGCACCUGUAAGUUUACGUGCCCCCUUACCUAUUGCCCUUAGCUGUCGCUGCACCACACUCAACGCACGGAUGAAAAAGCCUUUGAACUGGGAGUGCAAUUCAGACAAGCUGCGGUGUGGUUGGAUUCGCCUGGUAGUUUAUUUUACACUCUGUAUCUGCUUCAGUAAGCCUUAAAAAGGCGAAGGUAACCGUCUUGGCUGUAAGCCCAAUUUUGAACACGAAAGAAAUUGACUUCUCCUCCCCCAAGUCCAUGCCUUUUGUAAUUUGCUCUCGCGUUGUUGUUUGUGUCUGAAGCCACCCGAUGACCAGCCCAGGGACUUCACCUCGUCCUUGAGACCAGCACAACACACCAGAAAUAAAGCAUCCGACCCUCCUUACCCCCCUAACGUCGCAGCGGUCAUCCUUCUUUGAGAGACGCCGAGAACGAAACCAGCGAGAAUCGGGUUCAGCUGCUCUCUGAUGGGCUGUGGGUCCAGUGUUGACGAGCCAUCCUCUCUCUCUCUCUCGGCCCGUUUGUAGAGGGGAUGAAAGGAGAGUGGGAGAGGUGAGGAGUUGCUUUGACAGCUAAAUUAGGGGUCCAGAGGGGACUGAAAUCUUAAAUCUUCUGCUGAGGAGGCAGUCACAUUUCAGAAAGUCUGUCAGAAACACCUCUUUGGGAAAAGCUCCCUUUCACACAGAACCAUCAUUACAAAGGAAUGAAGACAGCUGAGCCUGAGGACAGGUAAGAACUGAUCUCAAGUCAUCUGGACACUCGUUCUAUUUACACCUAUGCACAGGUGAUACUGAUAGUUACACACAUUUACCUGCACACAGGUCCUAUCUACACCUGUGCUCAGGUGAUACUGAUCCCCAGUCAGAUCCACACUGGUUCUACUAACACCUUCACA